GACAAGGUUGCCCUAGCCGCCGC
rnacentral:siRNA from 1 species